CAUCGCAUUCGCGAUGAUGAUUGGAAGCGUGUUGUAGAAAUGCUCCUCGUCAACCGGAUAGUAACCAAUGCGGUUUCUUUGUCAUGGCGUACAUGAAAACUUUAAUUGAGAAUAUGCCAGACUUCGAUGAUAAAAAUUCUGUUCAAGCACUGUUUCAACAAGUUGAUUAUGACAAAGAGGUAUGAUUUGAUCAUUCGAACGUUGUGAUCAUCUAGACUUGAAUUGGUUCGGGAAAUUGUUUUUUGUGUAGUAGUGUUAUGACUUGAAUGAUAAUUAGAAUUGGUCAUGGAAGUCUUUUGACUUGUUAUUUUGAACCUUA